AUUCCAAACCCUCUUGAGCCAAAGACCUUGGCUGCCUCUUCCCACCUUCUCUGAGUUUCAGGCUUCCCUGGAUCAUCUGGCACUAUUCGUUGCCAGACAUAAUGCUAUUGCACUUUUAAUACGCUAUGGUACAAGAUAAACAAAGUUUAUGUAUGCACAGUGGAAAAAAAAAAAUCACUUGACUUGCUUUACUGUGCCACUGCAGUGGUCUGGAACCAAGCCUGCCAUAUCCCCAAGAUGUGAUGGCUGGAGCUCCCGGAGCUACCCUGGACCAUGAUGUGGCUUGGAGGCUGGGACUCACAUAGGACUGAGCAACAUGACAUUAACACAUGUGAUGCAGGAAGAGGCUCGAAGAGAGCUUGUCCUUUUAGUUCCUGGAAUCCCAACACCACGGGAAGAAGCCAGCCUGUUGGAUGAGACUCAUAUGGUCCAGUCACCCGGGAUGCCUUCGCUGACAACAGGCUAAGUGCCUAACAGAUGAAGCCAUCUAACAUCAGAAAAACUGCCCACCCGAAUCAUGAGCUAAAUAAAUGUUUUAGGCCAUUUUAGGUUUGGGGUGGUUUGUUUCACAGCAAAAGCUAACAUACACAAUUUUAUAGAUGAAGAAACUGAGGCACAGAGAUUAAGUAAUCCACCCCAAGUCCCACACCUAUUAAAUGGUAAGGUGGGAUUCAAAGCCAAUCUGUCUGGCUCAGAGGAAAGGCCAAGAUUUGCCAGUUGUCCUACAGCUAAGUCACUCUACGAGUUUCAAAUGCCUCUCCUCUCACCUACUUCCCCCAAAGGAGGCUGAGUAUAGAACGUGGACUCACAUGGCCUCAUAAACACAAUACAGGCAACUUCCAGCACUGAAUGACCC